GAGAAAGAAACAUGAGGUCGUGUGGUUGGCUUGAAACUAACUUGUGGGGGUUCAAAUCCCUCCUUUCUUG
rnacentral:tRNA from 1 species